CUUUUGGCGGGGAUUCGUAGCCGCUAACCAAACUUGCAUACUCCCAGAACAGACGUUUGGGGUGGAGGCUGAGAAAGAAACAGAUGCCAUUCGCCUUGUUAGAAGCCAGUGUGACAUCUGAACUGAUACUUCAAGAUGGUGUAGUUACAACAUCUACCAGCAGGAGCUAAUGUGGAGCUUCCAACAGAGCCUUCACCCUUUGUAUCAGUCUGAUCAGCUCUCCAAAGCCUUUACAGGACAGAUGAAGACCGUGUUCAUCGCCAUUCAGCCCGAUUGUGUUGGCUAAUUAUGACAGUUAGUAGUGGGGAUAGUGAGAGUCAUUCACAGGCCAUUAGAGCUCAGCCCGCGAGGUGAUAUCAUCUGUCACUUCCUCAACUCCCCUGUGCAGCGCUCCAAUGUCUGUGGCAUCAGUCCGCAUCCCACAAGCCCUGAGACAUGAAGCAUUCAAUCUGCCUCGUAAGCCUUGCAUAUUAUUUCCUUUCUUUCCUUUGUGAGGUGAGCGCGCACUUAACUGAGUGUUGGUUUAAUUGCACAUUUAAAAUGAUCAGGAUAUCUGUAGCCAGAUGUGAGAUGUAGGGAACAAACCUUUCAGAAAGCUCCUUAAUGUUCCCAACUGUUUCGCAUCUAACCUCAGCAAAGGCAGUGAAAAUAAACAAGACCAUCAAAUUAUGCUUAUUUACCUUUGAGAUGCAAAUUUUCCAUUUUGCGCCGCACCUCUAUUCAAGGGCAGAGGGACGAUGAAAUGAUGAAAAAUGUGUUGAAUACCGAUCAACAGAGGCCCCUUUGUGUGCACGCUGACCUCUAACUGCAACUGCGCUAAGAAAGAUAAUGCAUUGGUCUCAUUAGAGGAACAGGAAAAACUGAGAAUUGUUUCAAUAUGACCAACAAUAAUAGCGGUUAAAUUAUCUGUAGAACCGUGAAUAAAGGGUCCGUUCAUGAAAAGAUAUGAAAAUUUUUUACUUAGUCAUGUAAUUUCAGACCUGCCUGAGUUUCUUUUUGCUGUUCUGUUUCUGUUAUGAAAAACAGCAGUGUGCUGUUGGGCUCUAAAAAUAUCUGUAUUUGUAUUA